GACGAACGCUGGCGGCGUGCUUAACACAUGCAAGUCGAACGGAAAGGCCCUGCUCUUGCGGGGUGCUCGAGUGGCGAACGGGUGAGUAACACGUGAGUAACCUGCCCUUGUCUUUGGGAUAACUUCUGGAAACUGGGGCUAAUACCGGAUAGGAGCUCCUGCUGCAUGGUGUGGGUUGGAAAGUUUCGGCGGUUGUGGCUGGACUCGCGGCUUAUCAGCUUGAUAGGGGGGUAGUGGCUUACCAAGGGUUUGACGGGUAGCCGGCAUGAGAGGGUGACCGGCCACAUUGGGCCUGAGAUACGGCCCAGACUCGUACGGGAGGCAGCAGUGGGGAAUAUUGCGCAAUGAGCGGAAGCCUGAUGCAGCAACGCCGCGUGCGGGAUGACGGCCUUCGGGUUGUAAACCGCUUUCGCCUGUGCCGAAGCGUGAGUGACGGUAAUGGGUAAAGAAGCACCGGCUAACUACGUG
rnacentral:rRNA from 1 species